rnacentral:rRNA from 1 species
CCUACGGGGGGCAGCAGUGGGGAAUAUUGGACAAUGGGGGGAACCCUGAUCCAACCAUGCCGCGUGUGUGAAGAAGGCCCUCGGGUUGUAAAGCACUUUCAGUGAGGAAGAACGCCUGGUGGUUAAUACCCAUCAGGAAAGACAUCACUCACAGAAGAAGCACCGGCUAACUCCGUGCCAGCAGCCGCGGUAAUACGGAGGGUGCGAGCGUUAAUCGGAAUUACUGGGCGUAAAGCGCGCGUAGGUGGCUUGAUAAGCCGGUUGUGAAAGCCCCGGGCUCAACCUGGGAACGGCAUCCGGAACUGUCAAGCUAGAGUGCAGGAGAGGAAGGUAGAAUUCCCGGUGUAGCGGUGAAAUGCGUAGAGAUCGGGAGGAAUACCAGUGGCGAAGGCGGCCUUCUGGACUGACACUGACACUGAGGUGCGAAAGCGUGGGUAGCAAACAGGAUUAGAUACCCCUGUAGUC